GCCUGGGUGGCUCAGUCGGUUAAGCGGCUGACUUCGGCUCAGGUCAUGAUCUCGCGGUCCGUGAGUUCGAGCCCCACGUCAGGCU
rfam:Felis catus isolate Cinnamon breed Abyssinian chromosome B1, whole genome shotgun sequence.